CCUACGGGAGGCAGCAGUGGGGAAUUUUGGACAAUGGGCGAAAGCCUGAUCCAGCAAUGCCGCGUGAGUGAAGAAGGCCUUCGGGUUGUAAAGCUCUUUUGUCAGGGAAGAAACGGUGAGAGCUAAUAUCUUUUGCUAAUGACGGUACCUGAAGAAUAAGCACCGGCUAACUACGUGCCAGCAGCCGCGGUAAUACGUAGGGUGCAAGCGUUAAUCGGAAUUACUGGGCGUAAAGCGUGCGCAGGCGGUUUUGUAAGUCUGUCGUGAAAUCCCCGGGCUCAACCUGGGAAUUGCGAUGGAGACUGCAAGGCUAGAAUCUGGCAGAGGGGGGUAGAAUUCCACGUGUAGCAGUGAAAUGCGUAGAGAUGUGGAGGAACACCGAUGGCGAAGGCAGCCCCCUGGGUCAAGAUUGACGCUCAUGCACGAAAGCGUGGGGAGCAAACAGGAUUAGAUACCCUGGUAGUCCACGCCCUAAACGAUGUCUACUAGUUGUCGGGUUUUAAUUAACUUGGUAACGCAGCUAACGCGUGAAGUAGACCGCCUGGGGAGUACGGUCGCAAGAUUAAAACUCAAAGUGAAAUUGACCGGNGNGAGAGAGCGAGACGACGACGAGGGAGGAGG
rnacentral:rRNA from 1 species